rnacentral:lncRNA from 1 species
AGUCUGCGUCAGAGGCCUAGAGGCUCUCACUAUGGCAUGGACCCUCAUCCUCGAGCCCCACUACUCAGAGGAGCUGGGAAGAAUUUCCACCCUUCCUAGUGGCAAGUCUCACUGUGAGAGCGGAGUGCCACCAGGCAAACAGGGCAGAAAGACUGCUUUAAGGAGAAUCCUUAUAUUGGGGGUUAUGAAGUGCAAUACACCCUCAUCCUCACGCUAACACUGGUACCAUGUAGCCCAAGCUUGUCUAACCUGCAGCCCGCGGGCUGUGUAUGGCCCAGGACAGCUCUGAAUGUGGCCCAACGCAAAUUUGUAAACUUUCUAAAACAUUAUGAGAUUUUUUUUUCUCAUCAGCUAUCAUCAGUGUGAGUGUAUGUUAUUUGUGACUCAAGACAAUCCUUCUUUUCCAAUGUGGCCCAGAGAAGCCAAAAGACUGGACACCCCUGAUGUGGCCCUUUCAUCCAUAGUAGCCUAUUUUGUCCUAAAGACGGUCUUGUGCAGUGAGUAGGCCAGGCCUCCCCACUACCACAGUUUACAGGCAAGGAAUGUGAUAUUUCAUAGGAUGACCCUGACUGGCACCUACAUUGCUAGCCAAAGAAUGGCACAAAGAUGUGGACAGAAGAGACAACCUUAAGCAGCUGACUGCUGGCUCCUGCAACAGUAUCAUCAUGGCAUUUGUCCUGGGGUCCCAAGGAAAGAAAACAAAUCUGUGGCUGAGGAACAGACUGAGUUGACAAAGCAGCUUCCACAGUAACACAAGGACAAAGGGUGUAUGUAGAUAUGCACGUGGUAGCAGGUUCUACUAAAGGAACCUGGACCGACCAUUCUCACUCACAUUCUUUGGGAGCUGUAUUCUAAUACUUUCAGAAAAGCCAUGGGAACACACCAGAGUGACUGCUCGAGUAAAUAAGUAGCAUAAACAGCAAGCCAAACCAUUGAUGUACACAUCACUGGGCCCAAUACUAUGAAAUCCCACAUAAGAAACUUGAAAGUGAAAGCUGGAAUUCUGAGGAUACUGGUUUUGCUUAAUAAACAGCAUUUCAACAGGUGAGUCAACUUAGUAUUGCA